rnacentral:tRNA from 1 species
AGGUAAUUAGUUUAAGAAAAACAUUUGAUUUCGGCUCAAAAGCUUGUGGUUUAAGUCCACAAUAACCUA